rnacentral:tRNA from 1 species
UACUUGAUGCCUGAGUAAGGGAAGCCUUGAUAAGGCUUAUACGCGGCAACGCUCAAGUAA